AUGGCGAUCCAUGGUGACGAAACACAGGAGGUAAAUACAUAUUCUGAACUCUUCUGUCAUCGCCUAACUCUAGUGUACGGACACGUGCAUCCCUCUGGGUGCCGCUGGCCAGCAGCCAGCUUAGAGGAGCACGGCAGGAACGUCGGUUGUGCAUCUACUUUGAGCUCCACAAAUCCCCAGCAACCUAGGGUAACCACCUCCGCCCCCUCUUCUGUUUUGGGUGGUUGUUCUUGUUGGCAAGUCAGUAAUUCAAUUUUUUUACUAUGUUUGUUUCUCGGCUAUCAAUUAGCACCGUAUGUUGAUCGAUUUAUCAUGGAUCUAUAUUAUAUUGCUAUAUUAUAUUGUAAAUAA
rnacentral:rRNA from 1 species